CCUACGGGUGGCAGCAGUGGGGAAUUUUGGACAAUGGGCGAAAGCCUGAUCCAGCAAUGCCGCGUGCAGGAUGAAGGCCUUCGGGUUGUAAACUGCUUUUGUACGGAACGAAAAAGCUCCUUCUAAUACAGGGGUGCCAUGACCGUACCGUAAGAAUAAGCACCGGCUAACUACGUGCCAGCAGCCGCGGUAAUACGUCGGGUGCGAGCGUUAAUCGGAAUUACUGGGCGUAAAGCGUGCGCUGGCGGUUAUGUAAGACAGAUGUGAAAUCCCCGGGCUCAACCUGGGAACUGCAUUUUUGACUGGAUGGCUAGAGUACGGUAGAGGCGGAUGGAAUUCGGCGUGUAGCAGUGAAAUGCGUAGAUAUGCGGAGGAACACCGAUGGCGAAGGCAAUCCCCUGGACCUGUACUGACGCUCAUGCACGAAAGCGUGGGGAGCAAACAGGAUUAGAUACCCCGGUAGUC
rnacentral:rRNA from 1 species